UACGUAGGGUGCAAGCGUUAAUCGGAAUGACUGGGCGUAAAGGGCGCGUAGGCGGCCACUUGCGUCGGAUGUGAAAGCCCGGGGCUCAACCCCGGAACGGCAUCCGAUACGGGGUGGCUGGAGACCGAGAGAGGUGAGUGGAAUACCCAGUGUAGAGGUGAAAUUCGUAGAUAUUGGGUGGAACACCGGUGGCGAAAGCGGCUCACUGGCUCGGUUCUGACGCUGAGGCGCGAAAGCGUGGGGAGCAAACAGG
rnacentral:rRNA from 1 species